GUCUGGAAACACAUAUUACCGUCAAUUUAACAUUCAACUUGUGUAACCGUGGGUGUGGGAUGGGGUGCGGAAGUAAAUGGAGGGGUGUAGGUUACCCUUUUGUGUGACGUUCUGGUGGUGUGUUUGUGUAGAGAAGUUCUGCAGUUUGAAAGUCCCUGUGGUUAGGGGGUUGUGAGGCCUGAGGCUUCCCGGGAGUGGAGAUACCGUCACCUAUUGUGGUGGUCGUGCGUGUGUGAUCCAUGUGGUGAUUUGUUCCCGGUUACCUCUCUCAUCGGUCACUUUGCCCGUGUUGUGCUGUGUUGAACUUCUGUCUUAUCUCUGGG